rnacentral:rRNA from 1 species
UUGGAGGGCAAGUCUGGUGCCAGCAGCCGCGGUAAUUCCAGCUCCAAUAGCGUAUAUUAAAGUUGUUGCAGUUAAAAAGCUCGUAGUUGAAUUUCGGGGUCAGCAGGUCGGUCGUGCCUACGGUAUGCACUGGCCUUGCUGUAUCCUCCCUCUUGAUGAGCCGUAAUGUCAUUAAUUUGGUGUUGCGGGGAAUCAGGACUGUUACUUUGAAAAAAUUAGAGUGUUUAAAGCAGGCAUGCGCUUGAAUACAUUAGCAUGGAAUAAUGAAAUAGGACGUUUGAUCUUAUUUUGUUGGUUUCUAGGAUUGACGUAAUGAUUAAUAGGGAUAGUUGGGGGCAUUAGUAUUCAAUUGUCAGAGGUGAAAUUCUUGGAUUUAUUGAAGACUAACUACUGCGAAAGCAUUUGCCAAGGAUGUUUUCAUUAAUCAAGAACGAAAGUUAGGGGAUCGAAGACGAUCAGAUACCGUCGUAGUCUUAACCAUAAACUAUGCCGACUAGGGAUCGGAUGAUGUUAAUUUUUUAAUGACUCAUUCGGCGCCUUACGGGAAACCAAAGUGUUUGGGUUC